AACGAACGCUGGCGGCAGGCUUAACACAUGCAAGUCGAGCGCCCCGCAAGGGGAGCGGCAGACGGGUGAGUAACGCGUGGGAACGUACCUUUUGGUUCGGAACAACUCCGGGAAACUGGAGCUAAUACCGGAUAAGCCCUAACGGGGAAAGAUUUAUCGCCGAAAGAUCGGCCUGCGUCUGAUUAGCUAGUUGGUGAGGUAACGGCUCACCAAGGCGACGAUCAGUAGCUGGUCUGAGAGGAUGAUCAGCCACACUGGGACUGAGACACGGCCCAGACUCCUACGGGAGGCAGCAGUGGGGAAUAUUGGACAAUGGGCGCAAGCCUGAUCCAGCCAUGCCGCGUGAGUGAUGAAGGCCUUAGGGUUGUAAAGCUCUUUUGUCCGGGAAGAUAAUGACUGUACCGGAAGAAUAAGCCCCGGCUAACUUCGUG
rnacentral:rRNA from 1 species